UUCUUUUAUUUUUUUUAUUAAAUCUUCCUGGUGAUCAAGUUCAACAAAGAUUUAAAGCUGUGGUUCAGUUGGCAACAGUAUUUUCAGGGCUUAGUGGUCAUGAAUCUCAAACACCCCUUUGUACUGUAGCAGCUACCAAGGUAGUUCCUUUACAUGCAGAUUUUGUGCAAAAUGUCUUCACAUCCUGCCUUGAUGGUAGGGUGAAGUUUAAAUUCAUCAAGGUGUUCUUUUUUCCUACACUGUCCCCUUGUUUGGUAAAAAAUUACAUACCGAGUUCAUUUGAAUCUACUGGUCAAGAGCAAGGUAAUGAAAUACAACAGGUACUCGGAGUACCCCU
rnacentral:lncRNA from 1 species